GUGCUUGCUUCGGCAACACAUACACUAAAAUUGGAACUAUACAAAGAAUAUUACCAUGGCUCCUGCAUAAGGAUGAAAGGCAAAUUUGUGAAGCAUUCCAUAUUAUU
rfam:Mus musculus chromosome X, GRC primary reference assembly.